ACCCGGGGUGUGGUGGCGACAAGGGGUAGCGAGGAAAGAAUAGGAGUAGAGGAAAGAAGUAAAAGGGGUCAGCGGAUACGAAGUCUGAUGGUUUAGGUGGUACUGCGUGUAGGGUCGAGAGAGAACAGAUGAGAUGCGGAGCGAUCGGUGGCCUGUGGUCGUAGGUAUCGGUUGGGUGUCGGGGUUGCGGGUGGGGUGUCGCGCUCGAUGGUGCUGCCCCCCGCGAGGACCACAACGCUGGACCCCGCUACACGUCCCAAGUACCGCGCUGCCACCUACUCCCACGAGCACCGGUGCAAUCAAAAACGACCUUGGCCGCUUGGUAAAACGAUGUUGGCAAAAACCAAAAACAAUGAUGGUCACAAAACACGUAAACACGAUGUAGGUAGAGGUACUGUAGUGACAAAAAGGUCAGCUAAAAAACGAUGUUGGUACAAUACUAAAACAACCUUGGCUUCCAUUAAAAACGACCUUGGCCGAGUACAAAAACGAUGGUGGGUGGGGUGGGUUUUAGACGAGGAUGACAUAAAAACGACCUUGGCCGAUUGCUAAAACGAUGCUGGCCGGUCCUAAAAACGACCUUGGCCGAGACGCCAACGACGUUGGCCGUUCUGUUGCACGGGUAACCUCGACCUCGAUAUCGCGCGAGUGGCCGCUACACCAAAAACGACCUUAGCCGAUCAAUGAAACGAUGUUAGUCUGAAACCCCUAAAAACGACGAUACAAAUAAAAACGAUCUUGAUCACAGUUAAAAACGACCUUGGCUGAUAAGGAAACGAUGUUCGCCUAAAAAAGACUAAAAAACGACGAUACCAACAAGACGACCUUGGCCCGUCGCCCCUACCACUAGCACGACCUUGGCCCGUUGGCCAUACGACCUUGGUAGCCAUCAAAAACGAAGAUGGUCGUCGUUAACUUUGUCGUUAACUUGGUAGCCAUCAAAAAAACGACCUUUGUUAUUAACUAAAACGACCUUGGACGGUUUUGUCAAAAAAAAAAAAACGUCAACAGGUCGCCCCGCUCGCCGGUGCCGCACGAGACGGACGCUCGGCCGUCCGUCGGCGCCACUCGGCCGUUCGCCACCGCUACUCGGUCGCUCGCCGCCCCACCCCCGAUGCGCGCUUGGUGGCGUCUCCUAUAACACCUAGACUUCGCUCCUUCUUCCCCUGCGCGCACCCCUAUCGAGCGACUUAGCACGCCAGGACCCCUGUGAUUAGCACGCCGACGCACCCCUGGCCGGCUUUGCAAACCCGGCCACGCGGCCGCGGAUCGCGACCGGUAAGAUUUUACAGAGAUUACGAUUGAAGUAGUACGACAGGAAAAACCGGUUUUAUAACUCCUUAGGGCGGUUUAGUACUACAGGAAAAGACUACCUAGUCACCGUUUUAGAUAAUCUCUACAAGAGGGCAGGAAAAGUCGGUUUAGGG
rnacentral:rRNA from 1 species